AGUGAACGCUGGCGGUAGGCCUAACACAUGCAAGUCGAACGGCAGCACAGUAAGAGCUUGCUCUUACGGGUGGCGAGUGGCGGACGGGUGAGGAAUACAUCGGAAUCUACUUUUUCGUGGGGGAUAACGUCGGGAAACUUACGCUAAUACCGCAUACGACCUACGGGUGAAAGCAGGGGAUCUUCGGACCUUGCGCGAUUGACUGAGCCGAUGUCUGAUUAGCUCGUUGGCGGGGUAACGGCCCACCAAGGCGACGAUCCGUAGCUGGUCUGAGAGGCUGAUCAGCCACACUGGAACUGAGACACGGUCCAGACUCCUACGGGAGGCAGCAGUGGGGAAUAUUGGACAAUGGGCGCAAGCCUGAUCCAGCCAUACCGCGUGGGUGAAGAAGGCCUUCGGGUUUUAAAGCCCUUUUGUUGGGAAAGAAAAGCAGCAGGUUAAUACCCCGCUGUUCUGACGGUACCCAAAGAAUAAGCACCGGCUAACUUCGUG
rnacentral:rRNA from 1 species